rnacentral:rRNA from 2 species
UACGUAGGGGGCGAGCGUUAUCCGGAUUCAUUGGGCGUAAAGCGCGCGUAGGCGGCUUGCUAAGUCAGAUGUGAAAACCGGGGGCUCAACCCGCGGCCUGCAUCUGAAACUGGCAGGCUUGAGUCUGGUAGAGGAAAGUGGAAUUCCUGGUGUAGCGGUGAUAUGCGCAGAUAUCAGGAGGAACACCAGUGGCGAAGGCGGCUUUCUGGGCCACGACUGACGCUGAGGCGCGAAAGCUAGGGGAGCAAAC